UACAGAGGGUGCGAGCGUUAAUCGGAAUUACUGGGCGUAAAGCGUGCGUAGACGGUUAUUUAAGUCGGAUGUGAAAGCCCCGGGCUCAACCUGGGAAUUGCAUUCGAGACUGAAUAGCUAGGGUACGGUAGAGGGAAGUGGAAUUUCCGGUGUAGCGGUGAAAUGCGUAGAGAUCGGAAAGAACACCAACGGCGAAAGCACUCUGCUGGGCCGACACUGACACUGAGAGACGAAAGCUAGGGGAGCGAAUGGG
rnacentral:rRNA from 1 species